rnacentral:rRNA from 1 species
UUUGCGUCGAAGGUAUACCGGUAAGGAGUGCUGGAGCGAAUAGAAGUGAGCAUGCAGGCAUGAGUAGCGAUAAUUAAUGUGAGAAUCAUUAACGCCGUAAACCCAAGGUUUCCUACGCGAUGCUCGUCAUCGUAGGGUUAGUCGGGUCCUAAGUCGAGUCCGAAAGGGGUAGACGAUGGCAAAUUGGUUAAUAUUCCAAUACCAACAUUAGUGUGCGAUGGAAGGACGCUUAGGGCUAAGGGGGCUAGCGGAUGGAAGUGCUAGUCUAAGGUCGUAGGAGGUUAUACAGGCAAAUCCGUAUAACAAUACUCCGAGAACUGAAAGGCUUUUUGAAGUCUUCGGAUGGAUAGAAGAACCCCUGAUGCCGUCGAGCCAAGAAAAGUUUCUAAGUUUAGCUAAUGUUGCCCGUACCGUAAACCGACACAGGUGGGUGGGAUGAGUAUUCUAAGGCGCGUGGAAGAACUCUCUUUAAGGAACUCUGCAAAAUAGCACCGUAUCUUCGGUAUAAGGUGUGGUUAGCUUUGUAUUAGGAUUUACUCCGAAAGCAAGGAAACUUACAACAAAGAGUCCCUCCCGACUGUUUACCAAAAACACAGCACUCUGCUAACUCGUAAGAGGAUGUAUAGGGUGUGACGCCUGCCCGGUGCUCGAAGGUUAAUUGAUGGGGUUAGCAUUAGCGAAGCUCUUGAUCGAAGCCCGAGUAAACGGCGGCCGUAACUAUAACGGUCCUAAGGUAGCGAAAUUCCUUGUCGGUUAAAUACCGACCUGCAUGAAUGGCGUAACGAGAUGGGAGCUGUCUCAAAGAGGGAUCCAGUGAAAUUGUAGUGGAGGUGAAAAUUCCUCCUACCCGCGGCAAGACGGAAAGACCCCGUGGACCUUUACUACAGCUUGACACUGCUACUUGGAUAAGAAUGUGCAGGAUAGGUGGGAGGCUUUGAGUAUAUGACGCUAGUUGUAUAUGAGCCAUUGUUGAGAUACCACUCUUUCUUAUUUGGGUAGCUAACCAGCUUGAGUUAUCCUCAAGUGGGACAAUGUCUGGUGGGUAGUUUGACUGGGGCGGUCGCCUCCCAAAUAAUAACGGAGGCUUACAAAGGUUGGCUCAGAACGGUUGGAAAUCGUUCGUAGAGUAUAAAGGUAUAAGCCAGCUUAACUGCAAGACAUACAAGUCAAGCAGAGACGAAAGUCGGUCUUAGUGAUCCGGUGGUUCUGUGUGGAAGGGCCAUCGCUCAAAGGAUAAAAGGUACCCCGGGGAUAACAGGCUGAUCUCCCCCAAGAGCUCACAUCGACGGGGAGGUUUGGCACCUCGAUGUCGGCUCAUCGCAUCCUGGGGCUGGAGCAGGUCCCAAGGGUAUGGCUGUUCGCCAUUUAAAGCGGUACGCGAGCUGGGUUCAGAACGUCGUGAGACAGUUCGGUCCCUAUCUGCCGUGGGCGUAAGAAGAUUGAAGAGAUUUGACCCUAGUACGAGAGGACCGGGUUGAACAAACCACUGGUGUAGCUGUUGUUCUGCCAAGAGCAUCGCAGCGUAGCUAAGUUUGGAAAGGAUAAACGCUGAAAGCAUCUAAGCGUGAAGCCAACUCUAAGAUGAAUCUUCUCUAAGCUCUCUAGAAGACUACUAGUUUGAUAGGCUGGGUGUGUAAUGGAUGAAAGUCCUUUAGCUGACCAGUACUAAUAGAGCGUUUGGCUUAUCUUUAAUAAAGCAU